CCUACGGGAGGCAGCAGUGAGGAAUAUUGGUCAAUGGGCGGAAGCCUGAACCAGCCAAGUCGCGUGAGGGAUUAAGGCCCUGCGGGUCGUAAACCUCUUUUGCCGGGGAGCAGAGGUCCGGACGUGUCCGGGCCGGGAGAGUACCAGGAGAAAAAGCAUCGGCUAACUCCGUGCCAGCAGCCGCGGUAAUACGGAGGAUGCGAGCGUUAUCCGGAUUUAUUGGGUUUAAAGGGUGCGUAGGCGGGCAUUUAAGCCGGCGGUCAAAUGUCGGGGCUCAACCCCGGCCUGCCGUCGGAACUGGGUGCCUUGAGUGGACGAGAGGUAGGCGGAAUGCGUGGUGUAGCGGUGAAAUGCAUAGAUAUCACGCGGAACCCCGAUUGCGAAGGCAGCAUACCGGAGCCCUACUGACGCUGAGGCACGAAAGUGUGGGUAUCGAACAGGAUUAGAUACCCGAGUAGUC
rnacentral:rRNA from 1 species